rnacentral:lncRNA from 1 species
ACACAAGAAAAAUUUAAAACCGUAGAAUUUAAGAAAUUUAAAACUUAAAACGUAUAAAUUGUGUAGUUUAUGAGUUUUUUCAGACUUCUCACAUUUUAAAAUUAAUUAAUUAAUUGGUCGCGAACAUAGAAUGUUUAAUUUGUUGUAUUUGUAUUGAGAUUACAUAGUUUUUUAUAGGGAGUUUGCUACUUUAAUUAGCUCUCCAAUGUUUUCUGUUUUUACAACUUUCUCUUUACGGUUUCCAUAUGUAAUUAAUUAAUCAAUUACCUCACUUCAUUAAUAUCAAAACCUUAAUAAUAAUAAUAACUAAAAAAAAAGGUUAUAUGGUAGAUGAAUUAUUUUCUUUAAUCAUUUUCUCAAUCAAUCGUCUCUUGCAUGUGUGGAUUCUAUAUCCACACAAAGACAGAUGUCAUAUAUCCGGGAAGCAAACGCCACUGGUGUCCUGUUCUCAUUCUUUAAUUUGUAGAAAAAUGGGAUGAAAAAGAAUUGGCAUUUGGAUCGCCUUCCAUUUACAGACCCAAUUCAAUCUCAGUACUGUCUUUAAAGAAGAAUACAUAUAUAAACUCAAAUAAAUUAAUUUUACAUCACAUAUUAGGAUCAGGGUGCAACAGUGGCACGGUGCCACUGUUGCACCUAAGGGGAAUCCCACAUAUUAAUAAGAAAAAAAAAAAAAGAGAGGGGAAAUUAACUAAAAAAUUGGAGGAUAUUUACAAAUUACGAGGCAAGUAAAAACAUGGAACAUGCCACGAGGAAAGCCACGGCAAGGAGGAGGCAGCGAUCUCAGCUGAGCUAAUGAACGGCCUUAAUCAAAAAGAAACUCGAAGUCGUGGCUUGUUUCUGGGCUUUCAUGUUUGUAAUGCAAUGUGGGCCCUCGCCAAUCUUAAAAAUAUUAUUAUAUUGAAAUUGUGGGCCGACUUUCAUCCGCAAGCCUCAUCCAUCAUCACGAAGCACUCCAUGUGCCCCCAUCGACCCGAUCUUGGGGCGGAUAUGCAGGCUGUCGUGUCCUUCCCCUUUUCCGAUUUUGUUUUUUCUCCUCAUAAUUUAUUUACUUUUUCAUCAAACGGUUCUCAUUUGGUUACGCGUCCUCCUCUUUUCUUCUUCUUCUUCUUUUU